rnacentral:rRNA from 1 species
AGGACGAACGCUGGCGGCGUGCUUAACACAUGCAAGUCGAGCGGAAAGGCCCUUCGGGGUACUCGAGCGGCGAACGGGUGAGUAACACGUGAGCAACCUGCCCUUAGCUCUGGGAUAGCUCCGGGAAACCGGAAUUAAUACCGGAUAUGACCUAGGCCGACAUCGGCCGUGGUGGAAAGUUUUUCGGCUAGGGAUGGACUCGCGGCCUAUCAGCUAGUUGGUGGGGUAAUGGCCUACCAAGGCGACGACGGGUAGCCGGCCUGAGAGGGCGACCGGCCACACUGGGACUGAGACACGGCCCAGACUCCUACGGGAGGCAGCAGUGGGGAAUCUUGCGCAAUGGGCGAAAGCCUGACGCAGCGACGCCGCGUGGGGGAUGAAGGCCUUCGGGUUGUAAACCCUUUCAGCAGGGACGAAGCGAAAGUGACGGUACCUGCAGAAGAAGCGCCGGCUAACUACGCGCCAGCAGCCGC